rnacentral:rRNA from 1 species
GACGAACGCUGGCGGCGUGCUUAACACAUGCAAGUCGAACGAUGAAGAAAAGAAUUGAAGCUUCGGCAGAAAUUCAUUUCGGAUUAGUGGCAGACGGGUGAGUAACGCGUGAGCAACCUACCUCUUACAGAGGGAUAGCCUCGGGAAACCGGGAUUAAUACCAUAUAACAUUGCGACGAAGCAUUUCGAUGCAAUCAAAGCUACGGCGGUAAGAGAUGGGCUCGCGUCCCAUUAACCAGAUGGUGAGGUAACGGCUCACCAUAGUAACGAUGGGUAACCGGCCUGAGAGGGUGAACGGUCACACUGGAACUGAGACACGGUCCAGACUCCUACGGGAGGCAGCAGUGGGGAAUAUUGCACAAUGGAGGGAACUCUGAUGCAGCGACGCCGCGUGAGUGAUGAAGGAAUUCGUUUCGUAAAACUCUGUUCUAUGGGAAGAAAAGGACUGUACCAUAGGAGAAAGCUCCGGCUAAAUACGUG